UCCGGUCUCCGUCAAGUUGGCGGCAGUCUUGCAAAAUUAUCAUGUAUUAUCUUGCGUUCGCCGUGCGAUGUGUGAUUAGAGAGUCGUGUUUGAACAGGUUCAAUUUGAAUAAUCCACGAGUAUACUGUGCCGCGAGUUAUAUGUAAAAUCUGCAUCAAGAGAAUUUCGCACGAGUGCAUUUGGAAAUUUAUCUCAUCUUGUCGACGUAUUCGAUGAACGACGGCGCUCGCAUCCUCGGGUAGGAGAACUUGAGAUACUCGUGGAGAUUAUCCAGGCCAUUGAGGAAGUCCCUCACAUGUCGUCCCAGUACCGAGAGCACGCGAUCGUAACCGUACUGACCGACGAAUCCUACGAAGUGUACGCCCAUUUGGUCGAAGAACUCCUUUUCCGUCACGCCGAGUACCUGAAAUAAGCCAAUUUGAAUUUUCCUGAGCAAUUUUGCUACGGAUAAAGUUCUCCGGAUAAACUUGAUGAACACUGAAACUCGGCUGGUCCACAGAUGCCUGUCUGCGAAUCUCCUCCCAUCUAUCUUCGCCAUAAACCUGCCUUAUGUAUUCGGCCAGAUUUUCCAAGAUUAAACCGUACAUGUUUCUCUUUGGACAAAUUGUACUGGAAACACUUGACGCACCCCGAUAUAUCUCCGUUCGUUUGUGUGAAAUGAUAAAACACACUCUUUCGAGCUCCUCGAUGAUGCCCUUUGCGCAAUUUCAAAGAUGCAACGGCGGGCUACAGGUCACCGAUGAGUAGCAGCGCAUUGUACAAUUUCGCGUACAAACGCAGAAUCACGUGUCCCGCAA